rnacentral:lncRNA from 1 species
AUGCUGGGGAGGAGCAAUGCUCUCUGCCCCCACAGGAGGAGGUGGCCCUGCCCAUCCUCUUGUUUCACUUUUGCCUUAGUGCAGAGCCUCCGCUGCUCCACAGCCCUGCAGCUCUCCUGCGGCAUCAUCAUAGGGAGGAUGGCAGCCCGGAAGAAGGCCCGUGAUAACUUGAACUGUCCUAACUUGCAGACCGACCUGGAAAUCCUAAUGGCAAACCUAGAAGUCUGCCGCGGUGUGGGCUUGGAGAUCAUCAACAACACCAAAACAGUGACGCUGGAGGACUUCAGGAGUUACUGCUUCAGUGGCAAGAUCCGGACCGUUCUCCCCUUCGAUAUCGGCCCACACUCCGUAGGAAGAUGCAUUUUUGCAAAGACUCCAUACAGCCUGCGUGGGAGUGUGGGUGUCCUGGUCUGCAAGGCCAGCUCUUUCUCACUGGCCAUCAUGUUCUCCAACCCCUUCGACUACAUCCUUUACAACGUCGAGUUUGCUCUGGAGCUCUUCAAAUCAGAGAACCACAUGGGAAACCUCAGUGCAGUCUUCUCCCGUAUGAUGGAGAGCAGGCCUCACUGCAGCUCCACGCUCUUCCAGCGAGCCAAGCUACAGUCCGAGCAUGAAACCCUGGAGGUCUCCCUGGGGAAUAUUCGUGUCAGAGCCAAGAUGUCCAACAGUGGGAAAGCGAUCCUGAAAGUCCAGGUAGAUGAUAUAGAUCCCCCACCCUAUUCCAAAGACAUGUGAGUGAAGACGCCUUUGCUGUCAAAAGCCUCCCUCGUCAGAUUUUUCAUCAAGGACGGAGGUAGAGAUCUCACUGUGCUGCCUCUUUGGUGGUCACAGGUGGUGUCUGAUGAUAAAUCUGGUGGGAGACGAUAGCACCACCAGCAGCCUGCUCCCUCCUAGCUGGCCUACAGCUUCGGUGACUUUGCCAAUAAGCUAGCAGCAGCUUGUAAAGCACUAACUCACGCUUAUGGGUGAUAACUAAUAAACAAUGCUCUUACCCUUGUACGCUGCA